CACAGGAGCAAUCUCUUAAAAUUAUACAUUGCAUGAUUGUGCAAAUUAAGCCGAGUUAUUGCACAUGGAACAAAGGAGUUUUUACUCCUAUUGCUCUUGAACUGGGGUACUCUAAUUAAAUCUAAUCUGG